AAACACCCCUGCCUCUGCCAUGGAGUUGGAAGGGCGAGACACUGACCCAGUAGUCGAUCAUGUGGCAACAACUAGGAACUCGGACCAGCUGGCAAACAACCCUGCCUCUGCCAUGGAGUUGGAAGGGGGGAGACACUGACCCAGUGGUCGAUCAUGUAGCAACAGCCAGGGUGAGUCAAAGCGGACACAGUUGAUGAGGAAAUAUGCA